AUUUUGAAGCGUGCAGAGCGUGCAAGAAGACAAAACCGGAGGAGGAAGUAAAACUCUUCUGCCAUUAUUUCGAGUUUCCUUUGAAUUUUAAGCAUUUUGGAGGACUGAGGUAUUUGAUAGAAGAUGUCGUACAGCGGAGGGCCUCCAGAGAUUGAGGGCAUGACAUCCCUGAAGGUAGAUAAUCUCACAUAUCGCACGAAAGUCGAAGACCUCCGUAAAGUUUUUUCCAACUACGGAGAUGUAGGCGACGUGUAUAUUCCACGUGAUCGCUACACAAAAGAGAGCAGGGGUUUUGCGUUUGUUCGAUACUACGACAAACGCGAUGCUGAGGAUGCGAUGGAUUGCAUGGACGGAGCUGCGCUUGAUGGGAGAGAUUUGAGGGUUCAGAUGGCCCGGUAUGGUCGCCCGAGUACGGACUACAAACGGCCCCAGCGAAGCCGCUACGGAGGAGGGGAUCGAUACAAUGACCGGGGCGGCGGAGGAGGACGCUACGGUGGCGGUGGUGGACGCCGUGGAGGAAGGUCCCGAUCACGAUCCUUUUCACCUCGCCGCUCUCCAAGACGAUCAUCACCCCCACGCCGUCGAAGACGAAGGACGCCAUCACGCUCAAGGAGCCGCUCCCACAGCCAUAGUCGGCGAUCCCACAGCCACAGCCGCCGAUCACACAGCCACAGUCGCCGAUCCCACAGUCAUGGUCGUCGCUCCCACAGCCAUCGCUCCCACAGCCCUGUGAGACGAUCUCGUUCACCCAUCAAGCGAAGCCUAAGCAGAAGUCGUUCUCGGUCAGGAUCCAAGUCACCGAGACAGAGGAUUCACUCCCACUCCCACUCACGCUCUCGCUCCCCCUCUGGAUCCAUCAAAGGAGAAUAGAAACCAUCGAGUGGAUAAAGUCACACGAGGGCCUCCUUUCUGCAUCAUCUUGAGCAUUGAUGCCGACUCAAAGGAAGCAGUUACCUGAUAAGGCAGUAAUGCAGUUAAUAAUAAAGUCAUGCAGUGUAUCGCCAUCAGGCAGUGCAGUAAGGCAGAGUUGCUGGUCGAUUACUGUAGCCGAGAUAGCGGUCUCUUAGCAGUUUAAGGUGCCCGCAUUGGCAGUGUUAGCUGUUGCAGGAAUGGCGAUAUGCUGAUUAAAUUAUCCUGUAGCGAGCUGAGAUUAGCGAGCUGAGAUUAGUCUUGGUGUUGGCGGGGGAGUGGAAGGCUUGGUAGAGGUCUUCAGCUGUGCCUCUUGGUACUCACCUGAAGACGUCUUGCGGAUGACGUGGUGGUGAGAGGGGCUGCCAAGGUGUUUCCUGUACUGAAACACCUGGUUUUAAGCCAAGCUGUGAUGGGGGUUCAUGGAGGAUGCAGUCUCAGUCUGUACUCUAUAGUUGGUUUGGAGGGUGGUUGGUGUGCUGAGAAUACAUGUAGGUGUUGGGUGAGCAGUGCUGUUCAGAAAUGGUGGGUGCAUUCAAUGAUUAGAGAGAUGAGUUUUUCAGUUUUUCUGGUCUAGAGACUGAGCAAGAAAAAGAACCCCCCCCC